GAAAAUUUGAAGUACAUGUGGAACUGUUAGAUCAGAGGUUUUCUUGUUACGUGCUAAACCAUGAAACCUGGUACUGUUGCUGUUGAUGAAAUGUUCCCUGAAGGAGCUGGCCCAUAUAUGGACAUAGAGGAGGAUGAAUUAUGGAGUCAAAAUGUACCCUUACCAUUUGUUUGAACAGGCAGGAGGUUCCAGUGGGCUUUUAAUGGACUUAGCAGCUAAUGAAAAGUCUGUUCAUGCUGAAUUUUACAACAAUUUUGAUGACCUGUUUGAUGAU